AUGACGGGGCAGGCACCAAGUCUCGUGUUCCGGUUCACCGACACGGAGGUCGCCAAGAUGGAGGAGGUCCUUCGUGACCUCAACGCCAUGCCCAAGCAUCCUGUCAUCCAGGGCCUCACCGACGACUUCAAUGCCUCCCAGGACCGCUCCGGCGACGGCAAGGUCCUCGUCCAGUACAAUCAGGUGAGGAAUUGGUUCCAGAACCGGAGGUCCGUGCAGUCCAGGAAGAUGAUGGUGCCCCCAGUGGCCGAGGAACACCACCCAGUGGCCGGAUCUUACUCAGGGAAUAGUUCUUCGGAUGGUGGCCAUGUCCAGUUUGAGGCAAAGUCAGCAAGAAAUGGUGCAUGGUACAAUGUUGCUGCCUUUAUGUCCCACAGGUUCAUUGAAACGAGGGACCCGGAAGUACUAGUUCGAUUUACUUGGCUUGGACCCGAGGAGGAUGAAUGGGUUGAUGUUUGUAAAUGUGUGAGAGUGCGUUCUCUUCAAUGUGUUGCUGUGCUGCCUGGGGAUAUCAUUAUGUGUUUUAAGGAAGGUAAAGAGCAGGCCCGCUAUUUUGAUGCACAUGUUCUUCAAGUUCAAAGGCGCAGGCAUGACGUAAGGGGGUGCCGCUGCAGGUUUCUUGUUUGUUAUGAUCAUGAUCACUCUGAGGAGUUUGUUCCACUGAACAAGGUAUGCCGUCGAUCAGUGCAUCAGAAAGCCCAAAAGCCGCACGAGAUGAUGGAUGUCAACACUGACAAGGUGACCGGGGGCGGGGUUCCCAUUCCACCAGAUCAAGGAGGUCCAUCUGACAAGCCGGUUGCUCCCUUACUUGACUCGCCCACUAGCACUGGCAGCAAUUCAGUGGCAGAUGUUGAGGCGGGGGGUACGGAGGCUACCCGAAAUGGUGAAGGUGCAGAUGAAGCACAUGGCGACAAGAUUGAUGUGGGAGCUUAG
rnacentral:rRNA from 1 species